rnacentral:lncRNA from 1 species
ACCGUCCCCACGAGUCACAGCCCGGGCCCUGCAGUGGGCGGCGACGCCGGCAGCUGGGACGAGGAGGGCCUCCUGGUCACCCUUCUGGGGGCCCGUACUGUCAUGCCUCAGAGCUGGCAAGUCGUCCCAGGGAAGACAACGGCCUUCCUGGAGGGAGGGAACCUUGUGGUUAGGCGCAUGGGGUGCGAAGCAGGUAUGUGCUCACCUCCGGCUGUGUUUGCCUUGCGUGCUGCGGCUCAUGGUGCUGGUAUUGAGCCUCUGGGAACCUCAGCUGCCUCGUUGGCAAAAUGGGGGCUGUGGCAUCUGUUUCAGGGGUGUCCGUGAGAAUUAAAUGUUAAUUUCACAUAAAAUUCUAACACACAUGGCCCAUGGCCCGUAACACACAGUGAUAAACUUCCAAUCAACGUUGUUGCUGCUGUCGUGAGAGGGCCUCUACUUGGCCGACGCAGCUAGAAGACUAAGGUCAGGGGCAUUCUGGAUGCAGCCCACAAAGCUAGCUCUCUGUGGCACUGAGCAAGGUCUUCUUGGCUCUUAUUGACGGCUGAUGAAGGAGGGGUUUAUAAAGAAAACAAGCCAAAACCUGAAUAACUUGCUACUGAGAGCAGCACACAUAUUUUCCCAAAGUGCAAAGUUGAGAAGAAGUACAAAGCUUUGUUAAUAUUCUGAACAGUACUGCUUAGUAUGAUCUAAUUGAUGGAUUUUCCAUGGACUCCCUAGAGACUGAAAAAGAAGUUCCACAAUGGAUGUUCCUGAUGAGUGUGCAUUCGUAUAAUUAUUCAGAGACUCAAACUCCUACCAUUUAAUGUCUCCUCCAUUUCUGGAGUCCCAGGAGUCCUCUUCAAGAGAGCCUCUGUCUUUGGCUGACCUUCAUGAGAAAGUAUAUGGAGGUCACAUGGGUGAUAUUUCAUGCUGAGCCUGUAAGUUACACAGAUCCCUCUGCUCACAUUUCACGGGCCAGACAACGCAUGGCCACUCCACAGUAUGGGAAGCUGGGACCUGCACUCCAGUUCUGUGCUUAGACAAUAGAAAAGGAAGAUUUUGAACAUUUAAUAGUCUUUCUUCAACUUAUAAUUGGAAAUACAUUUUAAAAUAGUCAUAUAUUCAUAUAGUAGAAUAAAAAACUUGAUAGUAGUUAUCAAA